rnacentral:rRNA from 1 species
CUUGUUCCUGGGCCACACCUGACUGAGGGUCGGUUGACCAAACUCAACGACCAGACUGUC